rnacentral:rRNA from 1 species
GAUGAACGCUAGCGGCAGGCCUAACACAUGCAAGUCGAGGGAGAGGUUACCUUCGGGUAACCAAAACCGGCGCACGGGUGCGUAACGCGUAUACAAUCUGCCUUUCACAUAGGGAUAGCCCGAAGAAAUUUGGAUUAAUACCUAAUGGUAUAUAAGAGCGGCAUCGUUUUUAUAUUAAAGCUACGGUGGUGAAAGAUGAGUAUGCGUUCUAUUAGCUAGUUGGAGAGGUAACGGCUCCCCAAGGCGACGAUAGAUAGGGGUUCUGAGAGGGAUGUCCCCCACACUGGUACUGAGAUACGGACCAGACUCCUACGGGAGGCAGCAGUGAGGAAUAUUGGACAAUGGUCGGAAGACUGAUCCAGCCAUGCCGCGUGCAGGAUGAAGGUCCUAUGGAUUGUAAACUGCUUUUGUAAGGGAAGAAUAAGGAGUACGUGUACUUUGAUGACGGUACCUUAACGAAUAAGCAUCGGCUAACUCC